UGCCUCGCCCGUCUCAGGUAAUUCGUUUAUGAAUUUCGUCGAUGUCUAUCUAACGUACGAAAAAUUCAACUUUACUCUUCUAUAUUGCAGUUACAUAUAAAACGUAGACGAUAAAACGAAGAUAGGUUGACUGAGAUGGUUUUGCCAUACAUAUGUAGACCUCCAAAUCACUAUUCUGAUGAAUGUGCUACAAGUUGACAAUGUAAUAACCUCGCGGAUUUAAUGUGAACUUAACUAAGAAUAAGACUAAGACAUAAUAAUAAAAAUAAAGGGUCCAUAU
rnacentral:lncRNA from 1 species